UACGAAGGGCGCAAGCGCUGUCCAUCUUUGACGGAGCGUAAAGGGUGCGUAGGCGGUUCACUCUUGACCAGAAAGAAUUGAACUCAUUCAUGGGGUUCUAGAGCUCUGUGUGAGGGUGUGUAACUUUGAGACAGGCUGGGGUGGGGGGUACACGUGGAGGAGGGAUAAAAUCUGUUGAUACCAAAUGGACCAUCGAAGGCGGAGGCGCCUCACUGGACCUGGGCUGACGCUGAGACACGAAGGCGUGGGUCGCAAACGGG
rnacentral:rRNA from 1 species